UGGCAGUGGUCUUUUCACUGAGCGUUUGUGUCUGGAGCGUUCACUAGCUUCUACCACUCUCUCUCUCUCUCUCUCGCUCUUAUUGUUGCUCAGGGUGGAGGUUGAAACUGGAUUUAACUGACUCCUAAAGGAAAAAAAACAUUGAACGGAUGGCUGAAGUCGUGGAGUAGUGGAUGAACCUGCAAAUUCAACAUGGAAUUGAUUAUUUCCCACAUAGAGAUUUUUUGCGGGCAACAGAAUUGGCCUAGUCUGCACCCUAAGCCUGACUCCAUAUUGCCGCCAGGUGUAGGCUGACUCUGGUAUGGACAUCGAACUGGUCAGCACCACAGACAGACUUCCUCCACCGGUACGCUACUUUCCUAUGCCCUUUUUUCUUCUGUCCAUUCUUUUAGUUCUUUUUCAGUCAUAACUUUUUCUGAACGUUUUUUAACCUGCAUCUUGUUUACUAUCGCGUUGACGUUUCUUUUUAGUUUAAAAGUCGUGAAAGCUGUCCGUAUUGCUGUAAAAAUAGUCUCCGUAUCCACAGUUGUCCACAUUCCGUUAUGCUCCAUAAGCAAACAUUUUUGUUUCUUUUUUUUUAUUAAUUUUUUUUUUUUAGUAACAAAUAGUAGACCACUUUAGGCUAAGGUCAUAUCCAAAAUAAAUGUAGGUCAAUUGCGGUCAAACAUUUAACAUGACUUAAAAAAAGUAAUAAUAAUAAUUUCGCUGGUUCGGUUGUUGUCAGAUAUUUGUGUACACAAACUCUUUGACAAGUCUCAAUUCAUUUGUUUCCAGUGGUUAGAAAUCAGCAAGAAAAUAACAGCAACGGCUUCUGAGUGGUCGCACGAUGCCAUGGAAACACAUUUGAAAUGUGAGACUGUGUACUGGAUGUAUGCUCAGGAUUCGAUUCACUAACAACUUAUUUCUUUCUCUCUGGCAUUUCUCAUAAUACAAUACAGUGUGUCUCCCUGUAGAAAUAGGUCAGUAUAUAAAGCAGAUAUCUUUAACAUUUACUCCAUUGUUCUGGAAUAACCUUUGAUUUCCUUAGGGAGUGGCACUGUACCAUGAAUCAUGGCAUUUCUAAUUGCAGCUUGUUGCACCUACAACUUGUAGUGCAGACUGGGAAAGCCCUUGAUGCAGUCUGUGAUUUCUUAUUUCUGUAUAUUAAAUGGCAGUAAUGGGUAAACGAAAAAAUACACUUAAUGUGCGUAAUGUAUAUUUAACUAAAACAAACUAAAACAGUUGAAAAUGUUAGGUUUAUUACUGCAAAAAAAACAAAAAAACAGUUUAGUAUUUCUAUACUUGCGCUUAAGUUGCAUAAACAAGAAAUGUGUGUAGAUAUAAAAAAUAAAUAAAGCGUUUCUGCUAAUGCUGCUUUCUCAAAUGUCAGUCACUGCAGCAUAUUUGAUCCAACAGUAGCGGUGUUGUCUGAUCUGGGCACGGCAAACACCACCUGUGUCUUUCAAACUGACCUUCACUCUGAAGGAUGUUUUAAACGGUAGUGAUUCGAAAUACAAGGAAUUUAUGGUGAAAAUUGUUGGUGGGAGCUCCCAUUUUAGUCACGUCUCUAAUUAGUUAUCAAACAAUAUACACACAAGUCAUUUUUGUUGAACCACACCCAAUAAUUCUGCAUCAAAUUAUUUGAUUAAUUACUUGAGUUGCAGCGAUAUUUGGGAAUUUGUUGAAUUUGUUGACUUGUGUAAUCAAUAAGACUUAUGUUAGCAAUAUUCUUUGCUCAUUAAAGUAAAUUUACAAAUUUAUUUUUUUCUGAUAUUUAUUUUUCAGAUUUUGUUCUUACCCCAUAAAUUCCACUGUCACAUAUAUUUUACUUGCUUAUGUUGUUGUACACUUGUGGAAAGGUACAUGGGUAAUUUUCAUAGUUUCAAUGUUCAGCAGCUGUUGUAAUUAUGCUUUACAUAUUUAAAAAAAAAAGCCAUUCGUUUUACAGGAUCAAUACUUUCUCUGUUUAUUCCUAACCUUAUCUUCUAUCUAUCCUUUUCAUGAAUUUCAGGUGACAUACAUAAUGAUCUUCUUCCUCUGUAUUACCUGGCGAGGCCAUUAUGUUUUUUCAAAAAAAUACUUAACUUCCAAUCAUGGUCGUCUAUGGCUGUCUUUUGUUUUAAACUGAUUCGUCAAAGUGUGUUGAAAUUGGUACAAGAAAAACAACAGUCAUAAGAAUUAGUUUUUGUUGCAGUGGAUAUUAUUUUUGGUGUCCUGUGAAAGGUGGAGUGGGUCUAGCUGUGACGCAGUGCAGUGAUGCCAGCUGCCACAAACCCGUAGAUCCGAACUUGUGGUGACUCUGUGCACAAGCUCGUGUCUAUAGGUAUGUGUCUGCGAGGUGAAUGCAACAGUCUUCCCUGCCACCACUGCUGUUGACUAGAAACUUCUGCUCAGGGUUGACACUUUAGCUGUAAAAUUAUCAACCAUUAGGAUAUUUUAGGUGGUUGCAUGAAUGUUAGCAUCUAUUUAUUAGCAUGAAUUGAUUGCACCUAUUUUCAACAUUGAGUUUUGCUACUUGCAUAUGCACAAACGUAAGCAGCGGGGACAUUCUCCUAUCCUCCCCCCCUCAAGUUUUACAGCGAUGUCUCGGGAUGAGGUAGUAGGUUGUAUAGUUUAGAGUUACAACAUGGGAGAUAACUGUACAGCCUCCUAGCUUUCCCCGAGCAGACGCCCUUGUGCUACAGUGCUAAUGCUAAUGCAACUAGCAUUGCAACUAACAUGCUCCCCUGACGUGCAAAAAGCAGUACAACGGUGAUUGUAAAUGUUAUAUGUGGAGUAUGAUGGUCUUUGUUGAUGUAAAGGAGUUUGACAGAAUGUCAGCAUUUUGAAUUUGAAAUUUCUUUAGGCAAGUGUUUACAACAAAUAACACUGAGGAGGAACUAUAAACUAUAAAGUUUUAAACGCUCUAAUUCUAUGAGAAUUGGGAAGUCUGCGCCACAACUAUAAUGAUUACAACACAAUAUCGAAAUCGUUGUAAACACUUUCAGAAUGAUUUUCAGCUAAUGAAAGAUAAAAACGUGACAGCCAAUCAGAAUCCAGCAGACUUUAACGAACUGGAUCAUUUACAGAGGAAGACGGCAUAACUGCCACAUGCGCUUAUAAUAAAACAGUAUGUUAUCAUCUGUUGGUGUGAACACUAAUAUAGUUCUUGGUGAGAACAGGCUUUUAGCCAGUAGAGUCUAGUUUCAGUAGAACCUGUAUGUACAUAAUUUAACCAUUCCUUUAAAUCACUCUCUAUUUAAAGCUUUAUCCCAUAGCUGUGAUUAUUUUUAUUUGGUGAAUCUGCUAGCACCCUGCAAGCCUAGAAUGAAAGUGGUUGCAUUUAAUGAAAACAGCAUUGUGUCCCCACGGAGAAUAGAAAUGUUACAUUUCUAUCAAAUGACCACACAUUCAUUGUAACAAUGUGUUUAACAUGGUAUCCUACAGUGUUCUGCACCACAAACAAGUUUUAAAAUACACAUGGAAACUGUGAAAGCCUUAUGUUCUUUACCAUUUCCUUCUGGAUUUUAUUUGACCAUCAUUCAUAUGAAAACACAUUUAUAACUGAGAAAUGGCUUCUUCUUUUUUCUUUUUCUUCUCUCGCUUAAGUGCUAAUAAAAAAAUAUAUAUAUAAAUGAGAUUAGGUACAAAUUCUGCCAUAAAGGUAACAGUAGUAGAUGAGUAUUAGUUAUCUAUUUACCUUUCUACCUGCUUGUAUGUAUUUUAUUACAAGUUUGCUUAGUUUUAUCAGAAUGCAUACCAAAGAGCUUCGAGAGUCGUAAUGCUAUACUAUGGAGACAUUAGGCUGUUGCAAUAGCUAUUUUAGGGCAAAUAUUUGGUGUUGUGUAUUCAUGCAUAUGUGGCUAUUUCAAAAAGAUGUCAAAACAUGGAAAAUAUAUUGUGGUGACCUGAAAAGAUGGUAAAAGCAAAUUUAAACUAGUAAUUGGUACCACCAAUUUGUAGGAGGCAGCAUCUGCAGUUCAGCUGCAGUCACUGCGUCAGACAAAAUAUUUGAGCGCAUGGCAGCCUAUAUGCAGAUAUUUUCGAAUGACACUCCAAUCUUGUGCAUGUUGUGUUGUUCCAGUCAAUGUCUUUGUGCCGUGCUUUCAGUUUGUGUGUGCCGUGGUGAGGUUUGACACAGGUGUGUGUGCUUGCUUAGGUGUGGUUAUUGUAUUUGACAGUGGUGUUUUUGGUUGUUUAGUGUAAAUUUCUGCUUGAUUGAGUGGUACACGUGCAAGCAUGUCUGUGUGCAUGGAAAUCGAGCAGUGGCUGUGUUUAUUUUCGUGCCAAUUUUCGUCAAUCCCAAUGAAUUGAAUCCGAUUGCAUAUCUGUUAACAUGUACUCUAAAUAUUGUAAUCUGAUUAAAAUAUCCAUUUAUAUGUGUUUAUAUACAUUCCGAUUAAAACUUUUGCACACACGCUCUGCGUCUGAUGUCAUAUCAAUCACACUUGCGGAGACAACCUUGGACGUGA